rnacentral:lncRNA from 1 species
GCCUGGAUCAGAGCUUUUUGGGACACAAUAACAGCUUUGGUGUCUCCUGCUGUGGGGUUGGUGCUUCUCCCCUUUGACAUGUUGGUGAGAUGAAGUUAUGCCUUGGAAGUCUGCAUAAAGGUUUUGUUUUUGUUGAUGUUGUGUGUUUUUUUUUGUGUGUGUGUGUUGUGCAACUUCACCUAUUUUGCAAUCUGAGCAAAGCCAUGGGAGCCCUCCAGCAAGGAAGGACAAGGCCUGGAGUGCGGUGAGAAAGCGCUGGAGAGACAGUGUUGCUUUAGAAAUGGCAGAUGUGUGGUGGCCGGUGUGAGGAUUCACCUGUCCUGGGUGUGAUCUGGGUCAAGACACUCCGCAGGAGAAGUGGGGCUAGGCUACAACAGUGCUGAGCAGCCCCAAAAUCACCAGGACCACCUGUGAGUGCUCAGCACCUUCUUAGACCAAUUAGCAAGCCAAGAAAGGAGCUCCUGUACCAAUUUAAGGAAGAUGCCUUAGAGAUAGGCAGAGGUGAUGCUGUGUAGUCUCCUCAAAUAUCUCCAAGUGCUGUUAGGGGGCAGCUUGGCUCUGCUGUGGGGCGCCAUGGGAGGCAGCAGGCUUAACAAGGGCAACGGCUUCUCCUUGACAAAGUCCACAGGCUACACACGUGGAAGCAUGCAGAGCCCAUACAGUGAUGGCCACUGGCGUCCUGCUGACUGCAAGCAGCUGGGAUGCUGGCUGGGAAGCCCAGGGAACCGGGGGCACGUGAAGAACAGAAUGUUUUCCUCUCUGGAUUCCCUACUUCUUCUUGCCAAGUGUGUGCAAGCACAUCUGCAGCUGCAAUAUCUUGACCUUGCUAUGCUGGUGUCUGUGUCCACUUCACAUUCUCCUGGUUUGCUGGGCACCACCAUCUGGAUGCACACAGGAUGUCUCCGGACCACUCCAGUCUCUCCCACCACCAUGAUCCCCUUUGGCCAUCACCACCACCCCAGUCUCCUGGCACACAAAGGUGCCACCACUCCUCCCACAGCGCACCCGGGUUGUGCAACCACCACGAGAGAACCACGUGUUACCUAUAAAUCCCAGCCGGAGCCGUGCCACUCGCGGCGGCAGCAAGAACAUGGGUAG